rnacentral:rRNA from 1 species
AUGGAGAGUUUGAUCCUGGCUCAGGACGAACGCUGGCGGCGUGCUUAACACAUGCAAGUCGAACGAGAAGAGAUGAGAAGCUUGCUUCUUAUUGAUUCGAGUGGCAAACGGGUGAGUAACGCGUAAGCAACCUGCCCUCUAGAUGGGGACAACAGCUGGAAACGGCUGCUAAUACCGAAUACGUUCUUUCUGUCGCAUGGCAGAAGGAAGAAAGGGAGGCUCUUCGGAGCUUUCGCUGGAGGAGGGGCUUGCGUCUGAUUAGCUAGUUGGAGGGUAACGGCCCACCAAGGCGACGAUCAGUAGCCGGUCUGAGAGGAUGAACGGCCACAUUGUGA